rnacentral:rRNA from 1 species
UACGGGGGGGGCAAGCGUUGUUCGGAAUUACUGGGCGUAAAGCGUGCGCAGGCGGUUGUGUAAGACAGAUGUGAAAUCCCCGGGCUCAACCUGGGAACUGCAUUUGUGACUGCACAGCUGGAGUGCGGCAGAGGGGGAUGGAAUUCCGCGUGUAGCAGUGAAAUGCGUAGAUAUGCGGAGGAACACCGAUGGCGAAGGCAAUCCCCUGGGCCUGCACUGACGCUCAUGCACGAAAGCGUGGGGAGCAAACAGG